ACAGGUGGUGGCAUGGUUGUCGUCAGCUCGUGUCGUGAGAUGUUGGGUUAAGUCCCGCAACGAGCGCAACCCCUACUUGUUAGUUGCCAUCAUCCAGUUGGGCACUCUAGCGAGACUGCCGGUAAUAAACCGGAGGAAGGUGGGGAUGACGUCAAAUCAUCAUGCCCCUUAUGACCUGGGCUACACACGUGCUACAAUGGUUGGUACAACGAGUUGCGAGUCGGUGACGGCGAGCUAAUCUCUUAAAGCCAAUCUCAGUUCGGAUUGUAGGCUGCAACUCGCCUACAUGAAGUCGGAAUCGCUAGUAAUCGCGGAUCAGCACGCCGCGGUGAAUACGUUCCCGGGCCUU
rnacentral:rRNA from 1 species